UUGAAUAUAAAGAAAAGACGAACAGCUCAGUAACUCUUAUUUUAUUUGAUGUAUUAGGACUAUAACUAUGUUAAAUUAUAGAUAACAAUAAUACAAUAAGAAUAAGAUCUAUCAGUUAGUUGUUAAGGUAAUGGCUUAACAAGACUAUGACGGAUAACGGUAUUACUUUGUAAUAUUCCGGAGAAGGAGCCUGAGAGAUUGCUACUAAGUCUAAGGAUUGCAGCAGGGGCGAAACUUGACCUAUGAUAUGAUAUUGAGGCAGUUAUGAGUAGUAUUUUUAAUUAUUGUAGUAUUGUAAGUAUAUACUACAAGAUAAAUCGGAGGGCAAAUCGAGUGCCAGCAGCCGCGGUAAUACUUGUUCCGAUAGUGUGUAUGAUGAUUGAUGCAGUUAAAAAGUCUGUAGUUUAUGAUUAAUAAGCAUUGUGAGGUAUAUUGUAUGGUUAGGAGAGAGAUGAAAUGUGAUAACCCUAACUGGAUGAACAGAAGCGAAAGCUAUAUACUUAAAUGUAUUAUUAGAACAAGGACGUAAGCUAGAGGAUCGAAGAUGAUUAGAUACCAUUGUAGUUCUAGCAGUAAACUAUGUUAAAUCAUAGAUACAUUUUAAUAUGUAUUUAUGUAAAGAAAUUAAGAUUAUAUUGACUCUGGGGAUAGUAUGAUCGCAAGAUUGAAAAUUAAAGAAAUUGACGGAAGAAUACCACAAGGAGUGGAUUGUGC
rnacentral:rRNA from 1 species